UAUCUGAUUUGAGCAAAUUAACAUGAUUUGGUACGUACACUUAGUUUCUCUUUUUACCUUCUGUUCUCAUUAUUCUCUUCUUCCACAGUAUAUUCUGAAGCUGUACUUUAAGGAUUUAUCUCGAGCUCGGGUUGUGGCCUAACUGCAGCUCUACAAAAAUAUUUUUCGACAUCUUUGCUUAAGUGUCAUUUAAUUUUAUCGGAGGAUAUUCUUGACUUUUCGCAAUACUUCAUGCAACGUGUCUUUAACCCUGCAACUGAAUCUCUAUUUCAUCUUCUCGAUUUUGCUUAUUUUGGCAUUUGAAGCAAUAUAUAAUGAAUUACUCAUUGGGCUAUGUUGGUUGUUCUUGGUGCUUUGAAUCCCGUCAGUUUGCCGAACCAAUUAAAUCUUUCGUUUAUGUGUUAUUGCUAGAUUCCCUUUGCUAACAGGUGAUGCUACCAGUUUCUAUUGAUAUUAUGAGUUCUUAUAAUAUACAUGCUUCAGCUUUGGCGAAUUUACGAGAUCCAAGUUAUCAUCCGCCAAAUUUCUGACCUAGAUUUUUUUAUCCAUUAAGGUAUUCACAUAGUUCAAAAUUUUGUUUUACUGCUCCUUUUUC
rnacentral:lncRNA from 1 species